rnacentral:rRNA from 1 species
UACGUAGGGUGCGAGCGUUAAUCGGAAUUACUGGGCGUAAAGUGUGCGCGGGUGGCUUCGCAAGUCGAGUGUGAAAGCCCCCGGGCUUAACCUGGGAAUUGCGCUCGAAACUACGGAGCUCGAGUGUGGCAGAGGAAGGUGGAAUUCCACGUGUAGCGGUGAAAUGCGUAGAGAUGUGGAGGAACACCAAUGGCGAAGGCAGCCUUCUGGGCCAACACUGACACUCAUGCACGAAAGCGUGGGGAGCAAACAGG